rnacentral:rRNA from 1 species
GACGAACGCUGGCGGCGUGCUUAACACAUGCAAGUCGAACGGAAAGGCCCUGCUUUUGUGGGGUGCUCGAGUGGCGAACGGGUGAGUAACCCGUGAGUAACCUGCCCUUGACUUUGGGAUAACUUCAGGAAACUGGGGCUAAUACCGGAUAGGAGCUCCUGCUGCAUGGUGGGGGUUGGAAAGUUUCGGCGGUUGGGGAUGGACUCGCGGCUUAUCAGCUUGUUGGUGGGGUAGUGGCUUACCAAGGCUUUGACGGGUAGCCGGCCUGGGAGGGUGAGCGGCCAAAUUGGGACGGGGAUACGGCCCAGACUCCUACGGGAGGCAGCGGUGGGGAGUAGUGCACAAUGGGCGGAAGCCUGAUGCAACAACGCCGCGUGCGGGAUGACGGCCUGCGGGUUGUAAACCGCUUUCGCCUGUGACGAAGCGUGAGUGACGGUAAUGGGUAAAGAAGCACCGGCUAACUACGUG